AGACACUUUGGGAGGAGGAUGGGUGAGGCAGUAGCCAGGUGAAGUGGAGAUGCAGGAGGGAGGAGAGUGGAUAUAAGGAGGGUGCUGCAGAGUGACAGUCUACAUUGACAGCAGAUCAGGCAGAAGGAUGAGUAGGACUCUGUUGUGGCUGGUGGCCUCUCUGGCCUUUGCCUCACUCACUUCUCUGGCUGAUGGAGCUCCAUUAUCCCAGCUGGUGACUUCAACAAAGAUCCCAGCAUUAAACAGUAUGUGUACCUGCAAGCUCGGUUCCCUGACCGACUGCUGGAGAAAGUCGUCUUAGUGUCCUUCCAGUUUGUGUACAUCUUCAUCCAGACAGACAAGACCCUCUAUACCCCCAACAGCGAUGGUACCGACCACUGCAGACCGGGAACACCCCACAAGAGGUGCAGUUUUGAAGAUGCUCUGACCCAGUUGUCUAGCCAUCACAAUUUGGCCCUUGUCAAAGUCGCUCAAAUCCUCAUGCUGCCCAUUUUUUCCUGCUUCUUAACUUUUAAUUCAAGCAGUUUUAUGAAAUUCAAUUUAUUUUUAGGAAAUAAAGAUUUGCCAGUAUCUUGAAAUGUUUUAAUUAGGUGUGACUUAAAAAAACACAAAUAAAUGAAUGAAUUUAAUUAAUUUAAUUGCACAAAACUACAAUUUAAAUAUAGGUAGUAUAAACUCCCCCAGUGAAGGGCUUUUUAAAGUGUAUGUGAAGAUGUCUGUGAUGUUUAAACCAAGAAAUGAGAAACUGUUGACACUUUCAACAGAUGACCUACUGAUGGGAGGAGUGUGAUUUCCUCUGAUCAACAAAGAUAUCUUUAGUCUUAUUGACAUUUAGGAAGGUUAUUAUAAUGGUACAAUACAGAAAAAUUUAAUGUUAGUUCAUCAGAUAGUAACUGAAUAUACAGAAGACCUUUAAGUUGACAUAUCAGUAAACAUGAUUUUAAUACGUGCAACCGAUGUAUAUUUUUCAUGUUAAUCCAAUUUUUGUUACGUUGUGUGCCAAUACAAACACACUAACACAUGAUUUCCCAGCAGCAGUUGAGAAACUGCUAUCUGAUCUGAGGAAAAAGAUAAACAGUAGAAAAUCAAUGAGGGUUUAAAUGUUUGACUAACCUCGCAGCAGCUAACUGCAAAAGUACAGAUCAUGUUUUUAAAUUCUGUCUUUUCUGAGCCUGCUGAAUCAGUAUAAUUACACAUAAUCAAACAUACUGAACAUCAUCAAAUUCUGAAGUUGUAUUAUAUAUAGCCAAAUAUUUAGAUUUACAUUUCUACAUGAAAUGUCCUUUGAUUGGGUGUACGUUAUUUUGGCAUUAUACUUUUUCAUGGAUUCAAGGUUAUUUCAUUGUCAUUUAAAUUUGGAUAUAGUUCCCUUUAUGCUACUUUUAAAAACUACGUAAAAAUUGAUUUCCGGGUUAUUAAAACUGAAAGGACACUCAUGAACCCCUUUUUUGGCAUUUAUUUCUAUAUAACAACAACAAUGACACAACAAUUGUUUGCCUUGCUGGCCACGGGAUUUUGGCUCCUAAUAGCCAAAAAGCAAUACAGUAUUCUUAUUUUAUGGUAUAAAAUUGGCAAAGAUCUCAGAAUUUACAUUACAAUAACAUUUAGAGGGGCUUCUUUCACCCAAAAGGAGGUGAGGGCUUGACGCAAGGCCAAAGUACCCGGAUGGGCUGCUCUCAUCUAUUGCUUGGUGGGGGUCUGGCCUUGCUUUGUGGUGUUGGCUGAUGGGGUAAUAUUAUAGUAUAUAAUUUAGCUUUUUUUUUAAGUUAGUAACUUUACUCCAGUUGUUACUUAAGAGUGCCAUUUAAUUCACAUAUAUUAUAGAGUGCACUUUCUGUGGAUUAUCAAUAGGAAACCAAAUGGGCAGUUAUCACCAUUCAUAGCCAUAGUGAACCUUCAGUUGGCAAAGUUCAAAACGUCUGCCUUUACAUUUGUAUGUUGUACUUUAAUUGGUAAUCUUCCAUUUUUCUAUUUAGGACUAGUUUAUUUAUUACUCAUAUUUAUUUAUUACCCUUUUAGACCUUACAUGCAGCAGGCUGUAGUAAAUAUGCUUUAGAAGGAUCAAGGCCUACUAAAAAAAGGAAGCUUCAUCUGUGUAACUCCUGCAAAAAAUAGACAUUGUGUCUUUUCCCUAAACUUUUAAUCUGGAUGAUUCAUUAUUUUCUUUUUUUUUUCAAACGUAUGAUAAGUUCCAGUUCAGCCAAGAGCAGCAAUAGUGUUGUCUUUAUUCUACAAGUCCAGAGUCCUAUUUGCUAUUUGGAUGUGAACAAAGUUUGUUUGAUUAGUAGCCUAUUAAUGAAACUAGGCCACACCAGAGAGCAGAUUGUCCUGAUAAACAACAGCUUUCUGUUUUUUUAACUGAUGACAUACAUAGUACUAGAUUAGGGGUCACCAACCUUUUUGAAACUGAGAGCUACUUCCUGGGUACUGAGUCAUACAAAGGGCUACCAGUUUGAUACACUCUUCUGAAAUAACAAAUUAGCUCAGUUUGCCUUUAGUUAUAUAUUAUUAUUAUGAUUAAUGAUACUCAUCUAUGUGAAGACACUGAUCAUGUUAAUGAUUUCUCACAAUAAUUAUCAAUAAUGACUUAACAAGGUGGGGAACAGAUAAUAUCAAUAUUCAAUACUUUAUUUCUAUUAAUCUCAGCAAUUGUUUAAAUUUUCAGAUGAUCACUUCUACAACAUUUCAUAGGAAAAAUGUCCCAUUUUCACUAGCCACUAACAAACACUUUUAACAAAUCAUGAACUAUGUUGCACCAUGUUUGAAAAAGUUAUCAAUUAUGUAAUGUUUAAGAACAAUCAACUUAUAUAUUUUUAAAUAAAUCUUAACACAUUUUGAACUAAUGACCAAAUCUGCGUCAUUUUCAACAAAAUUAUAUCUGUUACAUUUCAUGAACACACUUUUGAAUUGAACACAAUGUUUCAGUAUUUUAAUUCAACUUUGCCAUGUUGGCACUGACAACAUCUGGUAUCUGCUUCUUUGUUAGUGGGAAGACUGGCAUUGCAUGCUGUUCAUCAGUGUAUUGUAAUCUGGUGUGUAACCUGACACUGCAACUCUGAGUGAGUCUUGCAGAUGUGCAUCAGUGAGGCGUGUUCUGUGUUUGUUCUUGAUGAAGUUCAUGUCAGAAAACACUGAUUCACAGAGAUAGGUUGAACCAAACAGGCUGGCAACCUUCAUAGCUGCUGUGAAUACACCACUGUACGGUUCUGUGUCAACAAGGCACCAAAAGUUUGGUGCAGCCUGGUAGGCUUUGAGGUGGAGGUAAUUUUGCAAUGUUACGAUUUCAAUCUGCACCAGUCCAGCAUCCAAGUUGAACGUUGCACUUAGUUGCUCAGCAAUGCAUGUUAUGUCCACGUUCAUGAAAGGAUUGGAGAUGAAUGACACACAUGGCUCAAGCUGAUCAAGGUCACAGAACCUAUUCUCAAACUCUUGCCCAAGUCUGUUUAUGACUCGACAGUACUUUUCUGCAACAUUGUCAAAUAUCUCAGAUGCAGAAGCAUUGUCUUUCAGCACCGAGUGCACAGAGGGGAAAGUGCAGCACCUUUUUUCCAGCAGGGGUUGUAGCUGAUUGCGUGGUCUGUCCCGGGACCAUGGUCUCUGGCACAGACCAGUGGUCACUACCACUAGGUGCGCUAAAGACACUGGUCACGACCAGAAGAUUAUGAUCUCUGACAUUUAUCCAGCUAACAGUGCUGCCAAAAUGACCAAAAGGAAUACUAAAGGUCCUUCACAUACCACAGGGACCACAGGGCAGAUCACUGAGGAGUUGGUCAGGACCAGUAUCUUUUGCGCCCCUAGUGGUUGUGACCACUGGUCUGUGCCAGAUACCAGAUGGCCUGUGCCACAGAGCAACUGGUCGCAACCAGUGUCUCUAGCGCCCCUAGUGGCAGUAACCACUGGUCCGUGCCAGAGACCAUGGUCCUUGGACAAACCACAGAAUCGGCUACAACCCCUUCUCCUUUUUUCUCUGUAAAUGCACAGAGAAAAUGUUCAUCUUGUAUCUAUCAUAUCAACAACAGUCUUACCUUUACCUUGCAGCUCGCAGUUCAAGUGGUUUAGUUUAAACCAUGCAAGGUCAAGUGUCCACUCUGUGUCCUCUAGAGCGAGACGCCUUCGCCUUUGGACUGCAUGGACUCUUUGAUUUCACCCAAAUGUGACAAAAAACUAAGUAAAACUCGUCCUCUGCUGAGCCGUCGGAUUGCUGUGUGUAGCAGCAGGUCACCAUAUUCAGCUGACAUCUCCUCCAAUAGCACCUUCAAUAUCCGGUGCUGUUUCGCUUUGGAGCGGGUGCUGUUUAUGAUUUUCACAACGGGAGUCAUCACAUGCCCAAAGCCGAUCACUUUUGCACAAAUCGCCUGCUGGUGAUUGAUGCAGUGGUACUUCAGAAAUUUUGGGAAGUCUGGGUCACCUUUACAGUGAGUGAUGAAACCUGUAUGUCGGCCCAUCAUAGCAGGAGCCCCGUCUGUAGUCACCGCUACCAGCUUUUCCAAUGGUACCUUUUUCUGCACGAAAAACUCCUUCACAGCCUGUGAAUGUCAGCCCCCCUCGUAGUUGUCUUUAGGGGCAGUAGUGUCAGGAGUUCUUCUUUUGUGGAGAUAUCAUCAAACACCAUCCAGAUAAAGACCAAGAGCUGCGCUGUACUGCUGCUGUCCAUGGACUCGUUGCACUGGAUGCUAAACCACCUGCACUUCGUCAGAUCCCAGUCCAGCUGAGCCAAGUUACCGGACAUAACUGACACUCGUCUAGCCAUCAUAGAUGCCCCCAGUUGGACAUCGGAGAGAGUGGCGAUUCGAUCAGUUCCAUUUUUCUAGUCUUUAAGUACAGUGUUAGCAAUAAUCAUUAAUGCUUCUUUGACAACUUCUCCGUCUGAAAAUGCCUUCUUCUUCUUUAUCAGAAAAUAUGUAGCUCUAAAUGAGGCUUCGGUUGCUUUUUGGGAGUCUUUCGCCGGCCUCGUGAAAAAAGACUGCUGCUUACCCAAAGCUGCCUUUAGCUCACGGGCUUUUUCUGCCCAUAGCAGGCUGCCCGGUGGGUAGUUAGCAUGGUAGCUUUUGUGACACGUAAUGAAGUGUCUCUCAACAUUGUGCCGCUUUGCCGUCACUACAGUCGCCCCGCAAAUGAGACACACGCAGGUUUCUUUCACAGAAGUAAAAAAUAACUCUUCCUCCCAUUCACUGUGAAAAUGACAUGUUUUCUUUCUUUUUUCUGCCAUAUUUUUGGGAUAAGAAACCGCAUUCAACUCCCAAUCUUUGCUGCGCCCGUGAACGCUGAAGUUUUGUCAUGCACACAAUACUGACCUUUGACCUUUGACCGGCAACACGUGCACUGGAACGUGAACAUGUGGAGGAAUGUUAUGUUCAGUGAUGAGUCCAGAUUCUGCCUACGGCAGCUGGAUCGUGAGGUCAAAGUGUGGAGAAGAUGCGGAGAACGCCAUGCUGAUUGCUGCACCGAUAGAAUAACAUCUUUUGGUGGAGGCAGUGUGAUGGUGUGGGGCGGCAUCUCCCUCACUGGAAAAACAAGGCUUGUCAUCAUUCUAGGCAAUCUCAAUGCAGAGAGCUAUAGAGAUGAGAUUCUGCAACCAGUGGCAAUCUCAUAUCUCCACAGUCUGGGACUGAACUCUAUCCUCCAAGAUGACAGCGCUCGCCCCCACAGGGCAGGGUUUAUAAGAGACUACUUCCAGAAUGUGGGAGUGGAGAGGAUGGAAUGGCCUGCCAGUAGUCCUGACCUCAACCCCACUGAACACUUGUGAGAUGAGCUUGGGCGUGCUGUUCGUGCCAGAGUGACCAACACAACCACGUUGGCUGACUUGCGACAAAUGCUGGUUGGAGAAUGGGAUGCCAUCCCACAGCAGUGUGUGACCAGGCUGGUGACCAGCAUGAGGAGGAGGUGCCAGGCUGUUGUGGCUGUGUAUGGUUCUUCCACACGCUACUGAGGCUCCUGUUUGUGAAAUGAAUAAAUUGUUAUUGCCAAUAUGUCUUGUUUCUUCAAACUUCAAUCAUCCAAUCCACCAAACACCAAACGAGUCAAUGGCAGAAUAAGCUGUUUGGCAUUGGCAGAGAAGAUUUGGCAAAUUUUUCAUGGGCGCAACCCACAUACUCAGCUCUGCUGCUCAUCCCACAAGUGCAUGUUCCUUACAAAUGGGGCACCAUUUGAAAGGGAACUAAACAGGCUUUCCAACGGUAUAAGAUGCAUUGUUACCACAGAGAAAUAAUCAACCAAACACAAAUUUCUUUACUUUUUGUGCUAAUUUUAGACAUAGCAAGAUAGACAUGAUGGACAUACAAUCAGGGAACCAUAACAUUUUUACAAUGAGUCAGAAGUAGAAAUUAGUAGGGUAAGUGUAGGUAAGGUUGGUGUGUUUGCAGGUUGGUGUGUGGAGGAUUACAUGUGUGGCGGACAUAAAGAAAGUUAGUAAAACACAGUGUUAAAGUUAUAGUGAUAUUAUAUAUCAUGUAACAACAAUAUUGUUGUUGUAACAACAAAUGUUGUUACAUGAUGAUUACAUGUAAUAAUGAUUUCAUGUAAUAAUGUAGUCAUAAAAUAUUAAUUGAUAAUACACUAAUAAAUAUUGUAAUACAAUAUAAUAAUAACCAUGAUCAGAAUUAUUCUUGUAUUUAUAGAGCAAACGGAGCAAUGACGAGUGGCCAGUCUGGACCAAGGCGAAUAACUAAAAGUAAAAGAGAGAGAGAGAGAAGAGAGAGAGAGAGAGAGAGAGAGAGAGAGAGAGAGAGAGCUGUUGGCGCAUCUGAUUGGCGCAGAUGGGACACGUGGCCAGGCUUAUUUGCAUAUGGGCCGGCAGGUGAGCGUGGGAGAAAAUAGUUUCAGGUAUGCCGCGAGCACACCGAUCCCUGACCGCCGGAUUAUGAAUUUAGGAUCUUGCAGUGAACCAGGAGUCACCACAGGACCCUCAACAACCGCCAGAUGCUCCAUUGUCAUUGCUGUGAAUGGUGUGUUGGUCCAUAUGUGAGAACACAGGCCACACAGAUCUGAUCAAUACUUUAAAUUCCUCAGGGAGCUGUUUGUCACCAUGGCGAUGCAGGUGAUAAUCCCACCUACAGUGUCAGUGUUUGUGUCCACCGUGCUGUCCCUGCUCAGCUUGGCUCUGCUGCUGCUGCUGUGUGUCAUCAGGAAGAAAAGACGGAUGGAGGGAAUGUACAGGCCCAGUGCCGAGGAGAGGAAACAGACAGGAGCAGCAGGAUCUGAAAAACCUGGCCUGCCUCUACCGUUGCCCAAAGAAGAACGCCUCAUAUGAUUGAACAUAUAAAAGUGGUGUUGCACACUUUCACCACGCUGCCGCUGUAUAAACCUGUGGAUCUAUACCUCCUGUUUCUUGAUGUUGCUCUGCUGCUGACCUCUGGGAUGAUGCAUGUUUGUGUUUUGCACCAGAAAUAUUCAGACACACUAAACACUGUUGGUGACAAGAAAUAGACUGAUCAAACUAUAUAUCACCUGUCUCACUGCAUGGAAAGAGGAAAUGCAUGUACCUUAACUAAAUAAGUCACUCCCUUUAUUCUGCCACAUAAGGAACAUGAGGUGAAGUAUGUUUUGUAUUUGUACAGAUGUCAGUGUAUUUUACUGUACUGUGUAUUUAUAUAAUAAACAUUGUGUUUUACACGUUUUCCGGUUAUGAAGGGUAUUGAUUAAAACACAGAUGAUGACUGUGAUGCACAUUUAUGUGGAGCUCUGAGAAUUUCUCAAUUUCUUAAACAUAAAAAUCAAUAUGUAUGGUACACAAGCUUUUCUGUUAAUAAACCAGGAAUGUGCACACUA